AUAACAUCACUUAAAACAGGAAUAUUCUCCCAUUUUCCCUCCAUCAUUAGUUAUGAAUUGAACAAAGGAGAGAAUUGUGAGAGUGAGAAAAAGUGAGACAAAGAAGAAAAACUAUAAAUCAGCAAAAUACAGUGCCAAGAGCUCUGGACCACAAAUCAGAAGACCUGAGCCCUAAUUCCUUUCCAGUCAUUGGAUUUGUUCGUCGCUUGCCAAAAUAGCAGCGAACUCUCUGUCAAACUGCAACUCAUUUUAUCGGAGCAAAAACUGAACAAAGAACUGCUAUCAUUUCUGAGGUCAGAGGCAGUGCAGCUUGUGUUACAACUCAAAAGAGUAAUACUCUGAAAAAAGAAAAAAAAAGAUGGCGCUGAAAAUAAACAUGUUCAGCAGCCAUUGUGAUUCAACUUACCCAGAUGUGCUUUUCAUGAGAUGGAGAAGGACGGAUGGAAAAGAAAAGCACACAAAUGUUAAUGGAUACAGUUCAAUCCAAAGAAAACCAUGGAAUAAAACAAGAGCAUUAUUUAAGAUGUGAGAAAGCUCAGGUAUGAGAAAGACAUGGUGCCAUUUUGUAUUUCAUCAUGACACACAUACUCACUGCGUCGAAAAGCAUAGUCAGGCUGAGGGUAGUUCUAAUAGUUGACCAAUAAGUCUAUGUCUUGAGUAUGAGCCACUCUGAAACAUGCAUGACCACAUUUUCCCAGCCUCGAGUACAUCCCAGGAGGAAAUCAAGAAAUCUUGGUAAAGGACAUUCUUUACCUCAGGCCACUUCCAUGCUAUUUUACCAGUAGAAACAAUAACUUAUUAAUUGGCACUUAGAUUUUUAUAUAGCUUUAUAAGCCUACUGCUAAGGCCCAAGAAAAAAGAACAGCAGACAUUAGAAUGGGCAGCAACUUGAAGUGAAGAAUGUCCUUCCUAGUUUGAGGAUCUGAAAAUCUAGAUUCUAUUUCUCAUACACAGUUUGGUCAAAAUUAUUAGCAGAUUCUGAUCUUCAAUUUCCUCAACACAAUCCCUGGCAAUAGAAAUGUGUAAAGUCCAUUCCAGAUCCAUAAUGUUAUUAUUCCAACCAAUGCUGUAAUAAUAAUUACUAUUUUGGUAAACAUAUAUGGCUAGUAAUCAGAACAUAAGAAAGUGUAAAAAUGUUCUAUUCCUCUUCUUCGGUGGCCAUAUUACUUCCUUCUCUAUUUGACUGGCAAAAUAAACAUCAAGUUUGUGUCUAUUGUGGCUCUUUCAGUGGUAGAAAUAUUUAAUUAUUUGAAUAGGUGUUUAUAAAUGUUGUUUUUGGGGAAACAUCCAUAAAUUAUAUUGGUUCACCAAUAUUACCAGAAAUCAUCACUAAAACGACAUUGAUACACAUAUAGCUUUUGAAGAACCCACUUGCUCCCUGGAUGUAGUAGAGGCAUUGAGAAAAUAUGGAAGUUAAAUAAUUCAACAAAAAUUCAUGAGAGUAUUGUUUUAAAAAUAUAUUACAAG
rnacentral:lncRNA from 10 species